AAAAAAAAAAAAAAGCAAUUUCUUUUAAAAUUAGUUCAAGGUGGAAAUAUCGCUACAAAUCUUUUUUCCAUUUAUAUAUGGAAAAUUGAAAUACAAAACCAUGUGUAUACACACACACUCAUAAUAUAUAAAUGCCUUUGUAUUUUAGUUGUAAAGCCAAUACCUUGCCCUUCUACAUUAACCACCUACAUUUUUUUGCGUGUGUGAAAACAUAAGCCUUGGAGUUCCUGUAGUGGCUCAGCAAUGAUGAACCUGACUAGGAUCCAUGAGGACGAGGGUUCAAUCCCUGGCUGCGCCCAGUGGGUUAAAGGAUCUGGCGUUGCCGUGAGCUGUGGUGUAGGUCACAGACGAGGCUUGGAUCCUGUGUGGCUAUGGCUGUGGAGAAGGCCGGUGGCGACAGCUCCAAUUCGACCUCAUGCCAUGGGUGAGGCCCUACAAAAACAAACAAAAUCCCACCGGAAAACAAAAACCAUAGGCCCUGGAGUUCCCAUGGUGGCUCAGCGGUAAUGAACCUAUGUCCAUGAGGAUGUGGGUUUGAUCCCUGGCCUUGCUCGGUGGGUUAAGGGUCCGGAGUUGCUGUGGCUGUAGUGUAGGCUGGCAGCUACAGCUCCAAUUUGACCCCUACCCUGAGAACUUCCAUAUGCCUUGGGUGUGGCCCUAAAAAAACAAAAACAAAUAACAAAUAAAACAUAGGCCCUAGCAUUUGAGACAACUACAAAUAAAAUAUAAGCUGGAAGGUAUAUUCUAUUUUCAGUUAGAAAGAGAAACCAUUUGUUUUCUAUACUUUUUUAUCUGAUGUUUUCAGUAAUAAAUGACAUUUGAGGGCACAAGUGAAAAAGAAAAGAGCUGGCCAGGUUUUGAAGUAACCAGAAUCUUAUAAAAUAAAAAAAAUGUGAAAAUGUGUAGGUGUUGACUAAACCUAUUUAACAUCUAUCCAAUUGUUCUGUAUUAAGUAACUAUUUGAAUUAUUCAAGGCAAAAAGUUUCUGAUUUCUUCCCUAAGUUACGUUAUGCAGUUUUGUAAAUUCCAUUUUUAUGCUAAUUUAUUUUAAUUUUAAAUUAUAGUUGAUUUACAAUGUUCUGCCAAUUUCUGCUGUACAGCAGUGACCCAGUUAUUUUUACACACACACACACACACACACACACACACACACAUUCUUCUUUUUACAUUAUCCUCCAUCAUGUUCCUCAAAUUUGUUAGAAAAUUCUUGGUCGAAUUGUUAGAAAUAUUUGGCUAUUAAGUUAUUUAGUUAUCAUAGUAACUGCUUGAUCAAAUUUAUACAUUUCCAAACAACUAGGGCUGAGUUUUAGAAACUCAUGAGUUAAAAAAUUGAAAUACAGUAGCAUUUCAAAAUGCCAAGAAUGGAGGUGAAGAAGAAUUUGGCUGCAUUUCAGUUUUCUGAUCUUCACUUGUGUUGGGUCCCCUUAACUUUUGUAGAGUGGGAAUAAACUGAGCAGCAGAUGCUGUCGGCACUGCCCUGCUCCUUCAAGUUGGGAAACCAUAAGCAUCUUUUAGAGGGAAAUAAUGUGUGCAGAGACCCACAAGUUCAUUAUUCCCAAACAUGAAUCUCCAAACCUAAUGUUAUCUGAGACUUAAGCUGGAAUGGGUGAGAAUUCCUAUCUUGAUUCCAUUUUCUCUGGUAUGGUUUAAAUCUACAUCAAUUAGAGGAAACUCUGUGGGAGGUAACAUGGUAAAAUUUCACUAAAAGUUCCCAUUUUAUACAUUAUGGGAUGGCUGUUUUCCUUCACAGUUACACAUUGCUGUCUUUGAUUGUAUUCACCGAAUAGUUGAGUUUAUUUAGUGUAUUUCCUUCACCUAACCUGGGGGUUAUGAGCCUACACUUUGGUGUCCAGACCACAAAUGUUUUGUGAUCCUAGGCUGAUAACUUUAGUGGGUCUCAGGCUUUUGGAUUUCAUGGACUGUUAAAAUUUUGUAAAACUCUAGAGUACUGAUAUUGAUUCAUCAUCUACUUAUUUUGCCAAGUAAGCAUGUUAAAAUGAAUGUAAACUUGCUUUCCACUAUUCUCAUUUCAUAAAAGAAAGGACAUUUUAAUGUCAUAAAAAUAGAAGGGUCAUAAUCUCAGAGUAGAUAAAUUUAGCUUUGUUUUACCAUAUUCUGUUUUUGUCAAGGACUGUUAAAAUUUUACCAUGAGAGAAUAUGGCAAUAUUACCAACUUUAUAUGGUUGUGAAGAUUAAAUAUGUUCAUGUAUAUUAAACACUCUGGCUAGAGUGUUUACUAUUGGUUAUUACUAAUCUUAUUUUCAGUGGUCGAUAUUCAUUUUUCCCUUAGGUAAUUUUUCAUUGUUUGAGUAUCUUAUGAUUAAUUUACCACAGUGAUUUAUAAGUCUAUUUGAUAGACUUGAUUCAUAGCUUAGAUUAUGUUAGGAUUGCAUUAGUCCACAGGUUACCAGAAACUGCACACAUAGAGGCUUAACCACAGACUUAUUUUUCUCACACAAUAAGAAAUCUUCAGUGAGGCAGUCCAGGGUUGAUGUACAUGCUCAAGGAUGUCAUUAAGAAAACUAGCUCAUUCUACUUAGCAAUUUUAGCUUUCAAAGUCCCAAGAUGAGAGCUGCACCACCAAGCAAGAGAGAAGGCAAGAGGUUGAAAAGACUUGGUAAGAGUUUGUCUUUUACUUUGAAGGAGAGCCUUCUUCAAUUACUUUUCAGUGGCCAGUGCUAACUCACAUGGCUACUCCUUAAUAGCAAAGGAGGCUGGAGAUUGGAGUAUCUUGCUUUUUGGCUUCUAUUGUACAGACAGGCAGGAAAGGAGGAGAUGAAGGUGAAUGAGUGCAAUGAGCUGAUAGCAUUUGUCCAACUUACUUUGCAUAGGAAACGGAUGAUUGUAAUGAGUUUAUGUGGCGAUUCACAGGAGACUUGUUUGAGAGUCUUACUGUUAUUAUAGAGCUGUAUGACUAGCUGUGGAAUCAUAUAUGAAUAUUCAGCUUCUUGGUUCACUUACCAGGUGUAUGACUGUUAAUUUCCUGAAGCACAGUCUUAUUUGAAAAUAGAGGUAAAAUAUCAGUGAGUGAGCAUUAUAUAUAAAUAUAAAUAAAACACUGAAUGUAACUUUUAAAUAUAAUUAUUUAUACAUGGUAACUAUUGAUUUAAGUAUUGACAAAAUAAAACAUAAAUUUAUAUUUUCUAAUUUCUUUUGGUUCCCUUUUACUCUAUUUUAAAACUUUUAUUUCAUUUCUUAUUUGCUUCAGUUUUGUGUUCUGGCAUUUCUAUGUGCAGUAAAACGUUCACAUUUUUCUGGGACUUUCAAGUUUUCAAUUUGUCAUUCCUCUCAAUAGCCGAAUCAUCACUUUUGACAAAUAAAUAUCUUUUGUAUGCAAAAUAUUUGUGAAAGAUAGCUGUUUACAGUUUUCUGUAAUUUGUUGAAUUCAUACUUAUAAAUGUAGUCUUUAAGAAAAGUGGUUUCAUACUGAAUGUUAUGCAAGACUAGCUUUGAUAUUAAAACUUUAAGUAUGCACUGUGGCCUGCAUGUUGUGUUUGGUUAUGGGCUUUUUAUGGUAGCAUUCAAGAUUUAUGUCAAUAGGCUACUCAUGUUUAGUGGGGUCAGUUAGUUGUUAUUAGAAGCUAAUGAUUAGAAAUGUUAUUGGAAAGAGUCAAGGGUACUUGGCAUCUUAAAAUAAUCUAUUUUUUUGUGAGUUAUUUGUUUGGGGGAGCUAGAGAUAGUAUAUGCCUGAUUUUGGAGUCUAAGUUGGGACUCUGAUUUCACUUAAAAUGGAUUAAUUGCAUGUGUCUGUCAGCCUCACUAGAGAGCUUACUCAGCUGAAACUACUCUUUCAGGCUCAGAACUUGGCACACCCAUAGCACAGAAUUGGAGCUAAUAAAUAUUGUUUAAGGACUUUGCCUUUGUGUUUUUUUUUUUUUUUUUCUCCUGAGAAUUUGAGAUAUAGGGCAAAAGUAAGUAUGUACUUCUAUAUUAAUAGCAAAUUGGAUAAAAGCUGAAAGGAGCAGUGAUUUUUGGUCCAAUUUCUGUAACACAAAAGUCCUCCUUUAUAGCAACAUGUACUUUUGUGGAACAAAACCAUCUUUCUUGAGUAUCAGACAGUUGCCUCACCGGUAAGUUUAAUCGCUUUGGUGCUGGUGUUUUGAACUGUUAUUUAGAUGAUAUUUCAGUGUCCUUUAACAGAGUGUAUAAAUUCUUCCUCAGAGCUCUUAGAAUCCCUUUGUUCUCCUAUGCAGUAUGUAUUUUUUUUUUUAAAUUACUUUGAGAUUUUGAGUAUCACCAGGGACAGUAGUUUAAAUUCAUGACAGACUUAUUACAUUAUUCAAUUGGAUUCUAGUAUUUAGAACUAAUUUGCUGAUUAACUGUUACUUAGAGAUCCUAGCCUUGACCAUUUUAGUAGGUAUGUCCACAUCUUAAUAAUAAAAUGGUUUACAUGCAGAUAUAUUAACUUCAUAAGGGAUGGUUUCAGAACGAGAUUAAAUAUGCUCCACUGAAACUUAUUUAUUAUAUAUAAAACUUUAGAAAAAAGGAAGCUGUAAUCAAACUUUCCUGGUAAAAUUUUUACAGAUUUGUAGAAAAAGACCUCUUAAUUAAAUACGCAUAUAGAGUAGAAUUUAACUUCAUUGUUUUCUACUUUUCAACUGUACUUUUUUGGGCAAAGCUAUGAUAUAAUUUUAUUUCAUAAAACUUAUGCAGCCCUUUUAAUGAACUCCCUGACUCCUCCCUCCUGUAUAACAUUGCAAUUUUGACUGGUCAAUUCAUAUCUUAAAGUUAAAAUGCCCCCCCUUUUUUGAUUAAAAAAAUUUUGUUAUGGUUGAUUUAUAGUGUUCUCUCAUUUUCUGCUAUAUGGCCAAGUGACCCAGUCAUACAUAUAUAUACAUUCUUUUUCUCACAUCCUCCAUCAUGUUCCAUCACAAGUGACUAGAUAUAGUUCCCUGUGCUAUACAGCAGGAUCUCAUUGCUUAUCCACUCCAAAUGCAAUGGUUUGUAUCUACUAACCCCCAAACUCCCAGUCCACCCCACUCCCUGCCCCUCUCCCUUGGCAACCACAAGUCUAGAGACUCUCAUACUAAGUGAAGUAAGUCAGAAAGAGACAAAUACUCUAUGAUAUCACUUAUAUCUGGAAUCUAAUAUACAGCACAGAUGAACUGUCUACAGAAAGGAAACCACCUCAUGGACAUGGAGAUCAACUGUACUUUAUAAUUUUUAAUUUUGUCAUGUAAUGCUUUCUUUGUGGAAGGUGACAAUAUGAUUGCAGGAACAUCUGAAAGGUCCAUCAUCCGUGGAAUGCUUCCCUUACCUGAUGAUGCCUAAGUGACACUGAGGUCAAUAUUGGUUCUUGGUGUUGAGUGGAAACUUACACAUCAGCAGACCAGUGGUUUUUUUCUCCUUGUCCUACUGACCUUCUUAGGGGCCUUUGGGGGGUCCUGGAAAUCUAGCCUAACCUCCACCUUUAAUUUUUAUUAGAGGAGAUUUACCAGUAAAAAAUAUUGAAAAUCUCUGGUCUAGUUUGAACUCCUGAGGGGUGGAAAUAAACAGCCAAACUCAUUCUUUACAUGUUGUUCAUGGCUGCUUACCUGUUAUAAAGUUUGUGCUUUGCAUUAGACUCUCAUUUCUUUUGAACUUUCAACUGACUCCAGGGCUCAAGGAUUUAAUCAGUCUUUUAGAAUUGCAAGUUUCUAAUCAUUUUACUGAGGAGGUAUCUUUACACAAGGAGGAAUGCAAUGGAAGGGAUUCACCUCAGUCCAGUUGCACUGCUAUUUAAACACAGCAAAAACAAAGCUAUUUUGUCAGUUUCAUUAAUUUUCUUUCUUCCUCGGUGUAGCCAAAAGAGGACUAGGACUUAAAGUAUCUCCUGGUGCUCUUUACAAUCAUACUCUGAAAGGAGAAAAGAAAUUUCAUUCCACAAUAGCAUUACCAGCAUGAAUGUUCAUAAAAAUUC
rnacentral:lncRNA from 1 species